UUGCUUGCAGUUGCAGAGCUGAUGCUUUCUCUUAGCUUAAGUUAGAAAUGAAACUAUCCAAUUAAGAAAAGUUUUUGAUGCUGAUGCGUGAUUGACUUUGUUGGACUUAAUUAUCCCAGCCCACUUUACUUUUAUAAUGGAAAUGGCAAAGCCCAUUUUCCAUGUGAAACUUUGUUGAUCACUUGGGGAUACGAAUUGUUAUUAGUCUGACAGAAUGAAAAGUUGAAAACAUCAAAAUUAAACAACAUUGAUCACAUCUUCUGAGAAAAUAGGUGAUAAUCGACUACACUUCCCAAGAAUCUGGUGGUUCAAAUGGCGAGAGAGUCAAACCCCGGCCUGAAAAUACUCUGGGUUUGGACCGUCGGCACCGCCGCCAUUUUGGUUACAAAUGUGGUAAGGACUAGACUAAGAGACAUGCAGCAAGUCAUCGACAAUGAACAACAGCAACAAAGUAGUCUCAGUGAUUCAUUUCAAGUUGAUCCCUUGCCAGAAUCCGACGAGGGAUUUGUCAAAGAAGUGAAAACUUAGGUUUCUAUUUGAGUUGCGUUUAUAUAGUGUACCUUAAACUUCUUUUUAUUUUUGGAUGUUUAUUUAUUUAGCAUACUUUCAGUCAAAGUGAUUCCGCUUGGAACGGGAAUAUCUGUUUUAUUUUCUGCAGACUAAAGAGAGGAAAAAUUGGGUUUGUGAGAGUAUGCUAUCUGUUUGUUGAAUGACCUCAAUGAAAAUUCCCUUGAAUAAUUUCGUGGUUUUUCUUAGCAUUAUAAUUGCAUGAGUGGAAUUUCAAGAAUUUAACAUUAAAGGACUCCAAACCCCAAUCAUCGUGUUCACUGAUGAGUUUUUUGAGCCUUCUAAUGUUCAAAUUGUUCUUGAUUGGUGCCAUAAUUUAGUACACCAGCUAGAUGACGGAUACCUGGCAACACUUCUUAUUUGUCAAUAGUAGAGUCUGUAGGUAACGUCCACAACCAUUUGAUCCACUUCGGAAAAAAAAAAUUGUGCUGUUAUGCUGAGCUACUUGAUAGUGUAGUAUAAUUUAUGGGUUGUCUUUACCUUCACAUGUGAAGAGAUUAGAGGCUUUUUUUUUUUUUUUGUAAUUUGUAUAUAAUUUUAUUUGAUUGCAUUUCCUCUGCUUUAGAUUCCUACAUCCCAUAUUGGAUUUAAGUAAAACUUUUCCUAGUUUCUUUGUGUAUAAAUAAAUAUUGCUAUAUUGAUCUCCAUCAUCAAUCUUCAUUAUCUAUGUAUUUUGAUUUUCAUGAGUCUAUGGUUUCUCAUUUGUGCUAGUGUGCAUAUUUUGCAGCUAUGCCAAUUUUACUAAGGCAUAACAUGUGUAUGUUAGAUAAUAUCUUCUCGUCAGGUCUUAAAUUUAGGCAUUUUUAAAUCAACACCUUUUUUUUAUUUUGAUGUCUUGUCCUCCCCUAUGUUGUGUGAUUAAGCAGGAAUGUUUUAGAACUUGGGUUGAAAAGGUCUCCCACCCCAUUCAAAGAGAGAAGUAACGUUCAUGGACUUUAAUAUUGUAUUGUGAAGAUUGUGGUAGGUAUUUGAGAAAGUGCACUUUAUCCUACAUACAUUUUUAUUGACAAAACCUGGGGCCACUAGUUGUUUAACGGCCGCUUGAUCUUAUGCUAACUAGAGAACAACUAUAAAAAUUUAUACUCUAAAAUGUAUAUGCGAGAGUAUAUAUAUAUUGAAGUAUGAUCCUUUGGACUUGAAGCCCAGCGGACAAUCUAUGGACUCUGUUACACUCAAGCUUCUUGUUAAUUUUUUCUAGAUUGUUGCUAAUGUCAAUUAUUUCACAUGUACAGGUCUAUAUGGUCUUGACCUUGAGCCUAAGCCUCGUAGUAUGAGUACUGAAUUUAGGGACCCAGAUGGAAUAGGGCUGAAUGCAUAAAGAUGAUGUUUUUAUUAAGUAAUAGUUUAACCAAAGAAUUCAGACCCCUCCAAAAGAAGGAAACAAUUGAUGUGUAAUGUAGCAAGUGGUACGAUUGAUUCUAGUUCACAUUUUCCAUUGAGAGGGACCCAACACUAUGGAACAACUGGAAGAAAAAGAAAGAGCCAAAUUUGGAUUUGAUGUGUCUCUUCUCCUUAUCCACUGGUUACUCCAGUCAUGCAUUGGAAAGGAAUCUGUGUGAUAGCUAACUUCUUUUAUUACCACUUGCUAUCUCAACAGUCAUUAUAUUUCAUUUCCUUAGUGUUGUAUCAUUUCUCUAUUAUUAUAGUUGCAAGAAAGUUUUGGGUGAUAUUUUGAAGAGAAUAGUGAAGAUGGGACAGGUGUGCUGCUCAGAACCGGAUGGUACGCUGCUUGGGCUCGUGCUAGCUUUAGUCCUGGCAAUAAUGUUCUUCAUCAUCUGUGUUCCCCCGACUCCAAGGAGAGUUAAAGUAUAUCACUGCUGUUAAAUUAUUGUUUGUAGUAGGUUGCUUUCUGCUAAUGAUUGUUGCCCUAUUUUGUUCUUUCUAUCAAUGUUUUAGUGCUUCCUCUAUAGUUGUUGGUUUAGUUAUCAAGUGUUGAUUAUAAAGAAGUGAAAACGUAGGUUUCUAUUUGAUCUGCGUUUCUAGAAUGUAUCUCAAACUCCUUUUUGUUUUUGGAUGUUUAUUUAUUUAACAUACUUUCAGUCAAAGUGUUUCCUCCUGGAACAGAAAUAUCUGUUUUAUUUUCUGUUGACUAAAGAGAGGAAAAAUUGGGUUUGUGAGAGUAUACUAUCUGUUUGUUGAAUGACCUCAAUGAAAAUUCCGUAGAAUAA